UCUGUUGCAAAUGGAGGAAGAGCUUGCAAAGGGUGAGGGCAGAGAGGUGCCCAGAAUCUUGCAGGAGGAGGGAGAAUGCAGCCUAACUUGCUGGAAGGAUUCAGGAAACCUGUGAGUAAGAGCCAAGAUUUCCCAGACCAGCCUACAGCCAAGAUCAGCACAGCUUUCUACCCAACCUACACCUCACCACAGAGAAUGGAAGAAUCACUCAGCCAUCCUGCAAACUGUGAAUGGAGAACAGUAAGAUGAGGUUUGCCGGUCUCCGAAGACAGCGCUCAGCUCUCUCGGGAGGUGAACUCACAGCAGUUCUGUGUUAUCCCUCCUGCCUCCUGGUGGUCCUACUGCUGUGAAUGCAGCAGCCCUGGCUUUGUGCUCUCAGGGACAUAGGAAGGCACGUGGAACUCUCUCAAGGGUUAUCAGGAG